GUGGAAUUGUGGUGUCACUACCUCGAGAUGAUUUGCUGAGUGUCCCACUUGAUGUACCAGCAUCUGCUGACAAAGCCUGAACAUUUUCCAAAUCAUUCUCUUUGGAUUUUGAGCCCAGAUUUAUGAGAACCGCCUCCUCUUUUCCACUCGAAGCACGCACAGGAGAAGAUGAAGUUUCAGCAUAGAGGCGUUUCAGUACUUUCUUUAUGAACACUUCCUCCCUGCUGAGCGCCAUGGCCCAGCACGGCCCGACC
rnacentral:lncRNA from 1 species